AUCUCCAUCAUGCUGCUCUUUCUACUGUUUCUACUAGUGCUUCUUCUCUGUGAGAGCACACAGGACAGCAUUACUCCCACAUCUUCUGCUGUCUAUGCUAAAGAGGAGCAAGCAGUUACACUCUCCUGUGUUUAUGAAUACACUCUUACUAUGAACAAUAUACAGUGGUAUCGACAAUAUUCCAACGCUGCACCAGAUUUCCUCGUUCUCCUGAUGGAAUCAGGAGCAAAUCAGAGAGCUGAAACUCCUCAUCCUCAUAUAUCUGCUAAAAUUCAUAAGAGCGUGAAGCGUGUGGAUUUGGAGAUCUUCUCUGCUUCAGUAUCAGACUCUGCAUUGUACUACUGCAUCCUGCAGCCCACAGUGACAGGAAACUCAAAUACACUGUACAAAAACUACUUCAUAUAA